rnacentral:tRNA from 1 species
GCGGGUAUGGUGAAAUGGUAUCAUACGAGCUUCCCAAGCUCUUGGCGCGGGUUCGAUUCCCGCUACCCGCUCCA